CUUCCAUCUCCCCACGUAGGGCUUCAAAUCUAGCGGCCACGGCGAAGUUUCAUUUGUCGCGCACAGAACCCUCCCUUCUUCUUCUCCUCCUGCUCAUCCGCAUCUCCGGUUUACCCAUCGUCCUCUCCUUCUCCACGGAAGUUCGUCUUGGAAGAGAUCUACACCCAAUCUCCUGCCUCGCUGCUCCAAUCUCUUUCAGAUCAAAAGAUUUUUCAGAAGACAGGAGCGAGGGAGAGGGAGAGGGAGAAGGAAAAGGGCGUAACUCCUAGAUCUGAUGCGCUUAUGAGCCUCCGCCAACGCCCCACCCGGCCCGGCCCGGGCGCCACCCAUGGCCCCGGCGCCGGUCCCGCGGCGCCGCCCCGCACCGCGGCCGCGCCGCCUGUCGCCGGAGAGGGGGAGGAUGAGGUCUACAACAUCAUCCCCAUCCACAACCUCCUCGCGGAUCACCCGUCGCUCCUCUUCCCCGAGGUGCGCGCUGCCAUGGCGGCCCUACGCACCGUCGGGGAGCUCCGUAAGCCGCCCUUCUCCCGGUGGCACGACGGCCUCGACCUCCUCGACUGGCUCGGCGCCUUCUUCGGCUUCCAGCGCGACAACGUCCGCAACCAGCGGGAGCAUCUCGUCCUCCUCCUCGCCAACGCCCAGAUGCGCCUCCAGCCGCCGCCGGACAACAUCGACGUCCUCGACCAUUCCGUCGUGCGCCGCGUUCGCAAGAAGCUCCUCCACAGCUACACCUCUUGGUGCGCCUACCUCGGCCGGAAAUCCAAUGUCUGGAUCUCGGACUCCGGCCUCCGCCGCGUCGCCACCGACCCCCGCCGCGAGCUCCUCUACGCCGCCCUCUAUCUCCUCAUUUGGGGCGAGGCCGCCAACCUCCGCUUUGUCCCCGAGUGCCUCUCCUACAUCUUUCACCACAUGGCCAUGGACCUCAACCGCAUCCUCGAGGACUACAUCGACGACGCCACCGGGCAGCCCGCUCUCCCCGCCAUCUCCGGUGAGAACGCCUUCCUCGCCCGCGUCGUCACCCCCAUCUACGAUACCAUCAAGCGCGAGGUCGACGCCAGCCACAACGGCACCGCCCCCCACUCCGCCUGGCGCAACUACGACGACAUCAACGAGUACUUCUGGAGCAACCAUUGCUUCGACCGCCUCCGCUGGCCGCUCGACCGCUCCAAGAACUUCUUCGCGACGCCGCCCACGAAGAACCGCGUGGGAAAGACGGGCUUCGUGGAGCAGCGCUCCUUCUGGAACCUCUACCGCAGCUUCGAUCGCCUCUGGGUCGUGCUCAUCCUCUUCCUUCAGGCGGCCAUCCUCGUGGCGUGGCAUGGAGACACGUACCCGUGGCAGAAUCUCCAGACUCGCGACGCCCAGGUACGCGUCCUGACCAUCUUCAUCACCUGGGCCGGCCUCCGCCUCCUCCAGUCCCUCCUCGAUGCCGGCACCCAGUACGGCCUCGUGUCGCGUGACGCCAAGUUGCUCGGUGUGCGGAUGGUGCUCAAGAGCCUCGCCGCUGCGGCGUGGACUGUUGCAUUCGCCGUCCUCUAUUCCCGGAUCUGGGACCAGCGCAACCGCGACCGGCGGUGGUCGACGGCUGCAAACCAGCGGCUGGUGAACUUUUUGGAAGCCGCUGCUGUGUUUGUCCUCCCGGAGCUGCUCGCCAUCGUGCUCUUCAUCAUCCCUUGGCUCCGCAACUUCCUCGAGAAGACCAAUUGGAGGAUUUUCUACAUCCUGACUUGGUGGUUCCAGAGCCGUACCUUUGUUGGUAGAGGACUGAGGGAAGGUCUAUUCGACAAUGUCAAGUACUCUCUGUUCUGGGUCGUGCUCCUUGCUGUGAAAUUCUCCUUCAGUUACUUCCUGCAGAUCAAGCCUAUGGUCACCCCGACCAAAGCCAUACUCCGCCUUCAAAACGUCCAAUAUGAGUGGCAUGAGUUCUUCUCUCGUACAAACCGGUUUGCGGUGUUCAUCUUGUGGCUACCUGUCAUCCUGAUCUAUCUAAUGGACAUCCAGAUCUGGUACUCAAUCUUCUCUUCAUUGGUCGGGGCGCUGGUUGGCCUGUUUGCGCAUCUUGGGGAGAUUCGUGAUGUGCAACAGCUGAGGCUGAGGUUUCAGUUCUUCGCUAGUGCAAUGCAGUUCAAUCUGCUGCCAGAGGAGCAGCUAUUCCAGGAGCAUGGUACACUGAGGAGUAAGUUCAGGGAUGCUGUCAACCGGCUGAAGCUGAGGUAUGGCUUGGGGCGCCCAUACAAGAAGAUCGAAUCGAAUCAAGUGGGUCCCAGCAGGUUUGCAUUGAUAUGGAAUGAGAUUAUUCAGACAUUCAGAGAGGAGGAUAUUUUGAGCGACCGUGAAGUGGAGCUUCUUGAGCUUCCACCCUAUACAUGGAAUAUCCGGGUGAUCAGGUGGCCAUGCUUGUUACUCUGCAAUGAGCUGUUACUUGCACUCGGCCAGGCAAAGGAACUGAAGGCUGAUGACAGAAAACACUGGAGAAAGAUUUGCAAGAAUGAGUAUCGCCGCUGUGCAGUCAUAGAGGCCUAUGACAGUGUCAAGUACUUUCUGCUGGAGAUCAUCAAGGAGGGAACUGAGGAGCACUCCAUUGUUGCUGGAUUGUUCGAGGAGUUUGAUAGUUGCAUUCGGGUUGAGAAGUUCUCGGUGGAAUAUACUAUGGGUGUUUUGCAGAGUAUCUAUGACAAACUGGUUGUCCUACUGGGUACAUUAGUCAAGCCAAAUAGGAAUAAGAACAAAGUGGUCAACACAUUGCAGACCCUCUAUGACAUAGCUACCCGCGACUUUCCUAAGAACAAGAAGAGCAUAGAGCAACUUAAAGAUGCAGGGUUGGCACCAACCGGGUCAAGCGGUCUGCUAUUUGAGAAUGCUGUUGAAUUGCCCAGUGCAGAAAAUGAGAACUUCUACAAGCAGGUAAGGCGGCUGCAUACAAUUCUUACAUCCAAGGAUUCCAUGAAUAAUGUUCCAAAGAAUCUGGAGGCCCGAAGGCGUAUUGCUUUCUUCAGCAACUCAUUGUUCAUGAACAUGCCACGAGCUCCGCAGGUUGAGAAGAUGAGGGCCUUCAGUGUUCUGACUCCAUAUUACAACGAGGAAAUUUUGUACAGCAAGGAGCAGCUUCAGUCAGAGAAUGAAGAUGGCAUCUCUAUCAUAUUCUAUUUGCAGAAGAUUUACGAAGAUGAUUGGUCAAACUUUUUGGAACGUAUGCGGAGAGAAGGAAUGACUGAUGAAGAGGAGCUAUGGGGUAAAAGGUCGAGGGAUCUUCGGCUUUGGGCCUCAUAUAGGGGUCAGACGUUAUCACGCACUGUGCGAGGGAUGAUGUACUACUACAGGGCUCUCAAGAUGCUUACCUUUCUUGAUUCUGCUUCUGAGAUUGACAUAAGGGAGGGGUCGAGGGAGCUACAUUCAGUUGGUUCAUCAAAGAGGCAGAAAACUGAAUUAGAUGAUUCAGAGGAUGGUGGCAAGUCGCCAUCACGAAGCCUGAGCAGAGCUAGCAGUGGCGUCAGCUUGCUGUUUAAAGGCCAUGAGCAUGGAACUGCCCUAAUGAAGUAUACUUAUGUUGUUGCCUGCCAGAUUUAUGGGAACCAGAAAGCAAAGAAUGAUCCACGUGCCAAUGAUAUUUUGUAUCUAAUGAAGAACAAUGAGGCCCUUCGUGUGGCGUAUGUUGAUGAAGUGAAGUCAGGCAGAGAUGAAGUGGCCUAUUAUUCAGUUCUUGUAAAGUAUGAUCAGCAAUUGCAGAAAGAGGUGGAGAUAUACCGGGUCAGGUUGCCUGGGCCACUGAAGCUUGGAGAAGGCAAGCCAGAGAAUCAGAACCAUGCCUCCAUAUUUACGAGGGGUGAUGCAGUUCAGACGAUUGACAUGAAUCAAGACAACUACUUUGAAGAGGCCCUCAAAAUGCGCAAUCUGUUGGAGGAGUAUUCCUACAAGUAUGGUUCUCGGAAACCGACAAUCUUGGGAGUCCGAGAACAUGUUUUUACUGGUUCUGUCUCUUCCCUUGCUUGGUUCAUGUCUGCUCAGGAGACAAGCUUUGUCACACUUGGACAGCGGGUUUUGGCAAACCCUUUAAAGGUUCGUAUGCAUUAUGGCCAUCCUGAUGUCUUUGAUCGCCUUUGGUUUCUGAGUCGAGGUGGCAUUAGCAAAGCUUCCAGGGUCAUUAACAUUAGCGAGGACAUAUUUGCAGGCUUUAAUUGUACACUUCGUGGUGGUAAUGUUACCCACCACGAAUAUAUCCAAGUGGGUAAAGGACGGGACGUAGGCUUGAAUCAGAUAUCUAUGUUUGAAGCCAAGGUUGCUAGUGGCAAUGGUGAACAGACCUUAAGCAGAGAUGUUUAUAGGUUGGGUCAUAGGUUGGACUUCUUUCGAAUGCUCUCUUUCUUCUACACAACUGUGGGGUUCUACUUUAACACCAUGAUGGUGGUACUGACUGUUUAUGCAUUUGUUUGGGGACGACUUUAUCUGGCUCUUAGUGGUCUUGAGAAUUCUAUCAGUAACAAUGCUGACUCUACGAAUAAUGCAGCUCUGGUUACUGUUCUUAACCAGCAGUUCAUUAUCCAGCUAGGCCUUUUCACAGCCUUGCCAAUGAUUAUAGAAAACUCCCUAGAGCAUGGCUUUCUUCCUGCAAUAUGGGACUUCUUCACAAUGCAGCUCCAGCUUGCAUCCAUGUUCUAUACCUUCUCUAUGGGAACUAAGACCCAUUAUUAUGGGCGUACAAUCCUUCAUGGUGGUGCAAAGUAUCGUGCUACAGGACGUGGUUUUGUUGUCGAGCACAAGAAAUUCGCUGAGAAUUAUAGACUCUAUGCGCGUAGCCACUUUAUCAAAGCAAUAGAACUUGGAUUAAUAUUGACUGUUUAUGCUUCUUAUAGUGCUAUUGCAAAGAACACUUUUGUAUACAUAGUGCUGACAAUCUCGAGCUGGUUUCUGGUAGUAUCAUGGAUCAUGGCUCCAUUUGCAUUCAACCCAUCUGGUUUUGAUUGGUUGAAAACUGUUUAUGACUUUGAUGAUUUCAUGAACUGGAUUUGGCAUCCUAGUCGCAUUUCUGCAACAUCUGAUCAGUCUUGGGAGAAAUGGUGGAAUGAAGAAAAUGACCACCUUCGGACAACUGGUCUUUGGGGAAAGCUACUGGAGGUAGUAUUAGAUCUCCGAUAUUUCUUUUUCCAAUACGGUAUCGUAUACCAGCUAAAUAUUGCCAGUGGGAGCCACAGUGUUUCUGUGUAUCUGCUUUCAUGGAUUGGUAUUGUUGCAGCUGUUGGGAUUUUUGUUGUUGUGGAUUAUGCCCGAGACAGAUAUGCUGCAAAGGAACAUAUUACAUAUCGUGCCAUCCAAUCCUUCGUAAUAGUCUUUGUGAUACUUGUGAUCGUUUUGUUGUUCGAGUUCACAUCCUUUGAGUUUAUUGAUAUCUUUACAAGCCUGUUGGCAUUUAUUCCAACCGGUUGGGGUCUAAUAUUAAUUGCUCAAGUGAUCAAACCAUUUAUUGAAUCCACUGCUCUAUGGGAAACUGUGGUUUCCAUGGCUCGGUUCUAUGACAUCUUGUUUGGGGUGAUUGUGAUGGCACCAGUGGCAUUUUUGUCCUGGAUGCCUGGUUUCCAGGAAAUGCAGACGAGGAUUCUCUUUAAUGAAGCAUUCAGUCGAGGUCUCCAGAUAUCACGAAUUCUUACUGGGAAAAAACAGGACACAAUUUGAGAUGGGUAUGUUCCGUUAGUUCAGACUGGUCUACUAUUAUUCUGGCACAAGCAACUGUCACCAAUUAAAAAGAGAAAAAAAAAAUCAGGUAAACACCAAAGGGACAACAUGGGUAAGAAAUGGAGCUCUGUGAUAAGUAAAUUAUACAUCAGGAACAGAUCCUUACCAGAUUGGAUUACAGAGUAUGCAUCUGAGAAGUCGCUUUGUGACAUACUUGGGAUGCUAGUGAUCGUGAUGUUUGACUCUACCUGUUGGUAUAUAUCAUGAUCAUGCUUGGUUACCGGAGAUACUCCUGAACGGCUAGCGGUCUCUGUUUCUUGCAGGUGGAAACACCUGCGGUCUUUGUUAUUUGUUGCUUUUGUAUCUUAUCGAGCUGGUAUUCCCUUGGAUUGGAUGGUGUGUCUCUCAUUUGGAACUUGACAUCUCUGUUCUAAUAGGCUUUCCUUGGCAAAGAUCUGGAAAAAUUGAGAAUUAUUAGACUAAUGAAGCUACGAUGUGGGUGUUGAUAUUUUUUAUUCAUAACGUUCCCUGGAGCUUUUCUUUCUUUUCUUUCAGUUAUCUCGGUUUCUAUCUAUGAACACACGUCUUUCCCUGAGGACCUCGAGAUUAGGAUCCACCAAGUUCUGCUAAAGUACACUCAUUCUAGCAAGUGGCAGGCAAUUUUCUGAUGACGGGGCUUCCCAUGCACCGAUUAAGUCCCACUCCUGUAUGUUGCAACAAGUCGAUAAGCAAGAUGUUUUCAGUUCAGUGUUUGUGCAGCCAAGUUUGAUGAUGGGCAGCGAAACAGAAUGCUUACUGUUGGGUGUUAGAGACUUCUCUUCUAGGAUGCUUAUGCAUUGUAAUUAAUCUCUAUUUGAGUUUCUUUGGCUUAUUUAAUCUCUUGUUUAUAUCAGACUUUAUGCUUUGUAAUUAAUCUCUAUUUGAGUUUCUUUGGCUUA